ensembl:lncRNA
CAGAGACCAACAGCAAGUUUUCACUGAGAAGGCCAUGGAAUUGCUGAACCCUCUUUCACUACUUUUAGCAACAGUCCAGCUGCACUUUGUUUUCUCUUCCGAUGUGUGCCCAAAUGCAGGAGAUUUAGAAAUUGGCAAUUUAACUUGGAAACUUGAAUGUUGUAUGAGCAACAGAAAACAAUUCACACUGAAAAUUGUGGCUCAAAAAUUGGACUCAUUGGACUCGAUGUACAGCUCAGAAACAUGUCCUGGCACCAAUUACAGAGAGCGAAAGUGUUUGAAUUUCUCUCUAGCGGUAGAAAAUGGAAUUAUAAAGGUCUCUGUAAACGAUACAGUUUGUAAGGAAAACUACACUCAGCCUGAAUGCCACCCAAAUGUCACUUU